ensembl:lncRNA
UGAUACUGAACAGUAUUAGAAAAAAAAAAAAAAAACCCUGCUCCUCCCUCCCACCAACCCAACCGCCCACACACCGGUUCUACGUCUGGCUUUGUCAGAUGUGCAGAAAGGCAGGCUGCUAAGACAGGAUGACACUGACGAUUAGAAGACCACUGCUCACACGAUAAGAUGGAAAUGUCGCUGAAGCAGUUGAUUCUGAUGCUACUCACAGUGACAGCAACCGCCAUGAUGAUACCAGGUCAAACUGCUAUAUGUCUGGAUAACCAACAGAAAACAGAGGAAGUUCCAUCUGGGUCCAACCUGAUUUUAAAUUGCUGUUUGAACACUGAGCAUAACGAGAGAUAUCGAAUCACCUGGUAUUUUAACCAUCAUGGGCCUUCAGUAACCAACUCAACCAGGCUAACUACCAAGAUCAAUAACAAAUAUCAAAAUUCUUCCAUGGAUGAAGACAACAGGACACAUACUUUAUCUAAUGUUAAUAGAAACCACAGUGGAUGGUACUUCUGCAAAGUCACAGUAGAGAUUCCCAGUUUAAGAGAAAAUUGCAGCAAUGGAACAGAAGUAAUUGUUUCGGACAGUGAAGUUACAACGUACCCGUCAAAUGUGACGAAUAUUGAAGGGCAAACUUUUCCUCCCGCAGACCCUCCUGCCCUGAGUGACAACUGGUGGAUAUGGGUGGUGUUGGGAGCGUCCUCUUUCAUCCUGUUCAUCCUGACGGUCACAUGUGUCCUGCACUCCAGAAGACAAGAAAGUAGAGAAGAGCCCAUCUAUGCAAACACCCCCAACAAACAGCCUUCACCUCGGCCGUCCAUGAGCGCAGCAGCGGUCAGCCUGAAGGCAGCUUCUUCCUUUCAAGACCUGCGGGCCCCGAGUCCUGCCAGCAGAUACGACGAAGGCAAACGGAGAUAUAAACACUGAACAAGUCACGGACCUCACAAACUAAUGCUACCAAAAGUCCUCACAGCUAAUUUCACUGGGACACUGAAAGAAACUCUUUUUCCUUUCAUUAUUGUCGGAUCUACAUUUUGUUCAUCUGGACUUCUGGUUUAGGGUUUUUUCAUUCAAACUGCACGUUUUUUAAAAUGUAUUCCUGCGCAGGUGAAGUAGCUUUUAUGAGCCACUAGAUGGCAGAUGAUGAAUGCGGUGUGAAUGUGUAAUUUCAUGUUUUUUUCCCUUAAUUUUUGUAUUUUAUUACUUGAUAUUGAAUAUGAUGAAUACUGAAUAUUUGAAAAUGUUUUCAAUAGCUUUUGAAUGGAGUAUGGAGAAGAUUUAUACACACAUAUGUAUAUUUUUGUAUGAUUUUUUUUAGAGGAGACUAAAACGUUAAUUUCUUAUAUAUCGACUGCGUCCUUAUUUUUAUUUUCAAAAUAAACGUGGCUUUC